rnacentral:rRNA from 1 species
UACGAAGGGGGCUAGCGUUGCUCGGAAUCACUGGGCGUAAAGGGUGCGUAGGCGGGUCUUUUAAGUCAGGGGUGAAAUCCUGGAGCUCAACUCCAGAACUGCCCUUGAUACUGAGGAUCUUGAGUUCGGGAGAGGCGAGUGGAACUGCGAGUGUAGAGGUGAAAUUCGUAGAUAUUCGCAAGAACACCAGUGGCGAAGGCGGCUCACUGGCCCGAUACUGACGCUGAGGCACGAAAGCGUGGGGAGCAAACAGG